rnacentral:rRNA from 1 species
UACGUAGGGGGCAAGCGUUGUCCGGAUUUAUUGGGCGUAAAGAGCGUGUAGGCGGCCAGAUAAGUCCGCUGUGAAAUCUCGAGGCUCAACUUCGAGCUGUCGGUGGAAACUGUCUGGCUAGAGUCCGGAAGAGGAGAAUGGAAUUCCUGGUGUAGCGGUGAAAUGCGCAGAUAUCAGGAAGAACACCCGUGGCGAAGGCGGUUCUCUGGGACGGUACUGACGCUGAGACGCGAAAGCGUGGGGAGCGAACAGG